rnacentral:rRNA from 1 species
UACAGAGGGGGCAAGCGUUAUUCGGAAUUAUUGGGCGUAAAGGGCGCGUAGGUGGCUUGGCAAGUGGAAGGUGAAAUCCCUCGGCUCAACUGAGGAACUGCCUUCCAGACUGCUUUGCUUGAGGCCGGGAGAGGCGAGUGGAAUUCCCAGUGUAGCGGUGAAAUGCGUAGAUAUUGGGAGGAACACCAGUGGCGAAGGCGGCUAUCUGGACAGAGUCUGACGCUGAGGCGCGAAAGCUAGGGGAGCAAACAGG